CAGUGCUUUGCAGUCAGGUUGCAAAUCCUUACCCAGCUCCAGGCUCUGCUAAAAGGUCUUUCCCAGUACCAGCAAAACCAAGGCUGCAAAGAACCUGGUUUGGAGGAAGAAGAGCCUGAGUAACCCGGGUGAAGAUGUGGGCUGAGGGAAGCGCUGUGCAACGGAGCCUUUCAUCAGAGGGAUAUCAAAGCACUCUGCAGCUGAACCUGGAGGGAGCUGGAAGUGCUUAUUCUGACAGCUGGGGCAGCGCUGAGGGAAGCACUGCUCCCACGGUAAAGCUAACUGCUUAAGUAGCAGCAAAUUCAACGCACACAAGUCCUUUUGUCCAUCUGCUUCCCCUAGCGUGAUUCCUGCCUUCUCCAAACCUGCUACGGAUCCAGGUGAAUUUUCCACCCGCUUGGCUCUUGCACUUCCCAUGAGGACCACAAACAUUGGAAGAGAUGUAGC